rnacentral:rRNA from 1 species
UACGAAGGGUGCAAGCGUUACUCGGAAUUACUGGGCGUAAAGGGUGCGUAGGCGGUUGUUUAAGUCUGUCGUGAAAUCCCCGGGCUCAACCUGGGAAUGGCGAUGGAUACUGGGCAGCUAGAGUGUGUCAGAGGAUGGUGGAAUUCCCGGUGUAGCGGUGAAAUGCGUAGAGAUCGGGAGGAACAUCAGUGGCGAAGGCGGCCAUCUGGGACAACACUGACGCUGAAGCACGAAAGCGUGGGGAGCAAACAGG